AGUGAACGCUGGCGGCAGGCCUAACACAUGCAAGUCGAACGGCAGCACAGUAGAGCUUGCUCUAUGGGUGGCGAGUGGCGGACGGGUGAGGAAUGCGUCGGAAUCUGCCUAUUUGUGGGGGAUAACGUAGGGAAACUUACGCUAAUACCGCAUACGACCUACGGGUGAAAGUGGGGGACCUUCGGGCCUCACGCAGAUAGAUGAGCCGACGCCGGAUUAGCUAGUUGGCGGGGUAAAGGCCCACCAAGGCGACGAUCCGUAGCUGGUCUGAGAGGAUGAGCAGCCCCACUGGGACUGGGACACGGCCCAGACUCCUACGGGAGGCAGCAGUGGGGAAUAUUGGACAAUGGGCGCAAGCCUGAUUCAGCCAUGCCGCGUGUGUGAAGAAGGCCUUCGGGUUGUAAAGCACUUUUGUCCGGAAAGAAAUCCAAUCGAUUAAUACUCGGUUGGGAUGACGGUACCGGAAGAAUAAGCACCGGCUAACUUCGUGCCAGCCGCCGCCGUAAUAC
rnacentral:rRNA from 1 species